UUAAGAUAAGAAGUGUUUAUGAUUCUUUUCUCUGAGCUUCUCACAGCCUUUCCCGGAAAGAUGCCUGGGAAAGUUGUCUGUUUCUGUCUGUGAUCAGCGAGCUGCCACCACAAAUAAGGGCACUUGUUAAAGACAAGAGAAUCUGUCAUAUUGAAAGACCCAGAUGAUUUUUCCCUCCCGUCUCUCUAGGAGCAAUAUUACUGAUUCCUCUGGCCUGGUAUUUAUUUAUAGGUAUUGCUAAGGUCCUGCUGAGUUUUCUGUUCUCCAGGCUGAACUGAUCCCUGCAGUGGGGAGGAAUUCUCAGGCGCUGCUGCCGCUUUCCAUCUAUGAGAUGGCACACAAUACACUCAGACUCACCUGAGUGAUGUCCUGCAGAUAUCAAGCAGGAGGUGGCGGAGGUGCUGGAGCACAGAUACCUCUGCAGCCCUCAGAGGAGACCACGGUGAAGCAGGUUAUCCCAGUUCUGCCUAGGAAGGACUGCAGUGGAGUAGAUACCCACUGUGUAUACCAAGAAGAACUUCACACAAAUGCAGUGGACCUGGAGGAGUCUGCACUGGAGCAGACUGCUGGCAGGAAUGGAGGACUGUGGGACCAUGCUGGAACAGUCUUUUCCCAAAUGACUGCAGCCCAUUUAGAGAAAUAAUACUGGAGCAAUUAUUGUAACAAAGUCCUGUGGGAACGACACAGAAUGGAGUAGUUCUUGGACAACAGUAUCUCACAGGAGGGACCUCAUGUUGGAGCAGGGGAUGAGUCUGAGGAAAGAGUGGAAGAAGCAAAGAGUUAUGAACUGACCCCAGUCCUCAUCCCCUACCCUACUCUUUGGGGACAGGGAAGGAGGUAGAAGAACUGGGACUAAAGCUUAACAUGGGAAGAAGAGGGAGGUGAAAUGAAAGUGUGUUUAGUUUUGGUUUUACUUGUCACUAUCCUGAUCUAUUAUUAACUAGCAAUAAAUUAAUUUCCUCACGUCAAGUCUGUUUUGAUGGUAACUGGCGAGUGAGCCCCUCAGCCUUAGCCUGUCCCAGAAGCUCUUAUAUUUACACACACACACACACCACCCCCCCCCCCCCCCCCACCCCCCAUGCUCUUGAUAAGGUCAACUCAUUAUGGAAAUCUACAAGAAUUUUAACUUAGCAGAAAGACUGAGAUUUCAUUUUGGGCAGAAAUAAAUUUAUCUAGAGAAGAGACACACACAUAUAACUCUGUUUAAUAUGCUGCGCAACAUUAAGCUGUUGAAGAAGAAAACCAGAACCACAAGGAAAGAAUCCUGGGGAGCCCCAGCUGAAAGCUGAGACAAGUGACCAAGAUAUUCUAAACAGAAGCAGAAAUUUUAUGUUACUGACAGUUGGAGUGCAUUUUUUCUUCAGAAGCAAUUAAUCCAAAUUUGAAAAAUACUGCAGAUAAACAUAUGUAUGUUGGACUUCUGAGGCCCAUUUCAGAAUUUCAUAAUCUGCUAAAAUUAACUUUAAAGGCAUGGAGGCCUGGAAAAAAUGAAAAAUGUUCUCCACCAUUUUUAUUUGACAUUUACAGGUUAUUAAAGGGGAGUCUGCAACUUGAGGAAAAUGCUGUUUUGCUCAAGACCUUCAUAGCAGACAAUUCCUUUAAUGGAACAAAAAAGUACUUGAAGGUGUGGUCCAAAGCUGAAUUAAGCCUUAGCUUUCUCUUGAAGAAUGUAUUUUAAAAAGUCCCCCAUUUUUUUUUUAAAUUCAAAAUUCUUCCUUCAGAAGGAAUAGAACUAGAAAUUCUCUAUGGAUGUAUAUAAUCUACUAAAAAGACUGAGACUAAAAACUGUACCUUGGGUUUAAGAUUUCCAACACAGGACUUUAUUUAAGCAAAAUUAUUUAUUAGCAGUGUCUUGCAAAAAUAUUAACGGUAGUUACUUUUAUAAUUGUAUACACUGAAGUUCCAGCCCUCGCAAUUUCUCCAUAUUUAAAUCUGUAGCAUCCUAUGUCUUAAGUAAUGUUUGCAAAGCUAAAUAAAAUAGAGAAGAUUAUUAGAGAGAAAAUUUUACAAAUAUUAGGAAUAGUUUCAAUCAAUUUUUUCCUUGUUCUCCUUUCAUUAAUAUUUCUGUUACUUUGUGGAGAGAAAUAAUUAUUUUCAAAAAGCACAUUUCUCAGCAUUUGUACUAGAAAUGUUUAUGUACUUGUUCAGAAAGAACUCCUUCUGUACAACUCAUUGUAGCAGGAAUAUCUAAGCUGUAAUUACAAUCAUAGUAUACCUCCAAUUUAAACUCUCUCUUUUAAAAAGCUUUUAAAUUUAA